GACGAACGCUGGCGGCGUGCCUAGUACAUGCAAGUCGAGCGGACAGAAGGGAGCUUGCUCCCGGAAGUCAGCGGCGGACGGGUGAGUAACACGUGGGCAACCUGCCUCACAAUGAGGGAUAGCCCUCCGAAAGGAGGAUUAAUACCUCAUAACACAAGGAAAACGCAUGUUUUCCUUGCCAAAGAAUUUCGUUGUGAGAUGGGCCCGCGGUGCAUUAGCUUGUUGGUGAGGUAACGGCUCACCAAGGCUUCGAUGCAUAGCCGACCUGAGAGGGUGAUCGGCCACAUUGGAACUGAGACACGGUCCAGACUCCUACGGGAGGCAGCAGUGGGGAAUAUUGCACAAUGGAGGAAACUCUGAUGCAGCAACGCCGCGUGAGUGAUGAAGGUCUUCGGAUUGUAAAGCUCUGUCUUCUGGGACGAUAACGACGGUACCAGAGGAGGAAGCCACGGCUAACUACGUGCCAGCAGCCGCGGUAAAAC
rnacentral:rRNA from 1 species